AAACCAACCCUUCACUUUGGGAUAACCCAAGGAAACUUGGGCUAAUACCGGAUAUCCCGGUUGGAUCGCAUGAUCCUUCCAGGAAAGCUCCGGCGGUGAUGGACGGUCUCGCGGCCUAUCAGCUAGUUGGUGAGGUAACGGCUCACCAAGGCGACGACGGGUAGCUGGAGUGAGAGCUCGAACAGCCACACUGGGACUGAGACACGGCCCAGACUCCUACGGGAGGCAGCAGUGGAGAAUCUUGCACAAUGGGCGAAAGCCUGAUGCAGCCACGCCGCGUGAGGGACGAAGGUCUUCGGAUUGUAAACCUCUUUCAGUCGUGAAGAAGCGCAAGUGACGGUAGCGACAGAAGAAGCCCCGGCUAACUACGUGCCAGCAGCCGCGGUAAUACGUAGGGGGCAAGCGUUGUCCGGAAUUAUUGGGCGUAAAGGGCGCGUAGGCGGUCCACUAAGUCGGAUGUGAAAUCCAGGGGCUCAACCCCUGAACUGCACCCGAUACUGGUGGACUUGAGGUAGGUAGAGGAGAGUGGAAUUUCUGGUGUAGCGGUGGAAUGCGCAGAUAUCAGAAGGAACACCGAUGGCGAAGGCAGCUCUCUGGGCCUUACCUGACGCUGAGGCGCGAAAGCAUGGGUAGCAAAGGGAUUAGAUACCCCUGUAGUC
rnacentral:rRNA from 1 species